AAAAUGGUUAUAUGAACAUAUGCAUUCUUCAUGUCUAGGGCGGCGUAUCAGUCUCCAGGAUCUAGGGAAAGAAAAUGGUCCCUAGUGAGACCAUGCGGAACUUCAACUUUACCAUAAAUCUGUUGAGUCCGCGUAGGUCCAGGAUAGGCCGAAGCCCAUCUUUGGCCUUGGGGAUUAGGAAGUAGCAGGAAUAAAAACCCUUGCCCCUUGAUUCUCCCGGA